GCCCUCAUAGCUCAAUGGUAGAGCAGCUGCCUUUUAAGCAGUUGACGAUGGUCCGAUUCCAUCUGAGGGCA
rnacentral:tRNA from 1 species